rnacentral:rRNA from 1 species
UACGUAGGGGGCAAGCGUUGUCCGGAUUUACUGGGCGUAAAGGGCGCGUAGGCGGCGCAACAAGUCACUUGUGAAAUCUCCGGGCUUAACCCGGAGCGGUCAAGUGAUACUGUCGUGCUAGAGUGCGGAAGGGGCUACUGGAAUUCUCGGUGUAGCGGUGAAAUGCGUAGAUAUCGAGAGGAACACCUGCGGCGAAGGCGGGUAGCUGGGCCGACACUGACGCUGAUGCGCGAAAGCCAGGGGAGCGAACGGG